rnacentral:lncRNA from 1 species
AUGCCUUUGAACUUCAGGAAAGCCGCCAUUUUGUUUUUGUUCACUUCUCUAAUGCUUUGUGUCUGCAACAUGAAACACAAGAUAUGUUGCCAUGGAGCUGCUGAUGAGUCACUGAGUCAUGGCUUGCUUUGCUCAAGUGACUGUGGUUUUUAUAACACUGAUACUCAAAUCAGACACCCGUGGAUUCUACUUUUAAAAACUUCAAGGUAAAUUCCUAUUUUGAAAUUUUCUAAAGAUGUGGACUCUUUAUUGAGGAUGGAAUGGAAUGGGUGUAUACAUGGGAAAUGAUUCCGAAGUACUUGUUCACUAAACCCAGUGAUUUGAAAAUAGCCUGAAGAUCAAUUAAAAUGUAAAGGAUGGGGGAGGCAUGGUCGGCAUAUGCUUUUCUAAAAGACCACAUAGCAGAAUAAGGAGGUUUUCUUUAAGCAUCAACAAUGGAAAUUGUUCUAGAAGUAUAUGCACAAGAAGAUGGUGAAGGAUGCGAAGCUAACACUUUCCAAUUUUCGUUGUUUUAAAGAGCUUCAAAUGGAGUUCCUUGUCCCAAAAGUGAACUUGUGAGCCUCAAAUUAGCAUUAAAUAAAAUAGUUUGUAUAUGCCUUUUCCCUUCA